UCCCUACGGGGGGCAGCAGUGAGGAAUAUUGGUCAAUGGGCGGGAGCCUGAACCAGCCAAGCCGCGUGAAGGAAGAAGGCGCCAGGCGUCGUAAACUUCUUUUGUCGGGGAACAAAGGGCGCCACGUGUGGCGUUGUGAGUGUACCCGAAGAAAAAGCAUCGGCUAACUCCGUCCCAGCAGCCGCGGUAAUACGUAGGUGGCAAGCGUUAUCCGGAUUUAUUGGGCGUAAAGGGAACGCAGGCGGUCUUUUAAGUCUGAUGUGAAAGCCUUCGGCUUAACCGGAGUAGUGCAUUGGAAACUGGGG
rnacentral:rRNA from 1 species